CCUACGGGAGGCAGCAGUGGGGGAUAUUGCACAAUGGGGGAAACCCUGAUGCAGCGACGCCGCGUGAGUGAAGAAGUAUUUCGGUAUGUAAAGCUCUAUUAGCAGGGAAGAAAAUGACAGUACCUGACCAAGAAGCCCCGGCGAACUACGUGCCAGAAGCCGCGGUAAUACGUAGGGGGAGAGCGUUAGCCGGAUUUACUGGGUGUAAAGGGAGCGUAGACGGUUGUGUAAGUCUGGAGUGAAAGCCCGGGGCACAACCCCGGGAGUGCUUUGGAAACUGUGUAACUGGAGUACAGGAGGGGCAGGUGGAAUUCCUGGUGUAGCGGUGAAAUGCGUAGAUAUCAGGAGGAACACCGGUGGCGAAGGCGGCCUGCUGGACUGAAACUGACGUUGAGGCGCGAAAGCGUGGGGAGCAAACAGGAUUAGAUACCCUUGUAGUC
rnacentral:rRNA from 1 species